CCACCCUCGCUGGCUGGCGAGUGCCAAGGGGGCAGCGCUGCCCCGUGGACUUGGACCCGUGACACGUCCCGCGCUCUGCCGACGCGAGACGCGGCCCUCGGGAUGGCUCCGACCGCUCGCCCGCUCUCGCGACCACCUGUCGCCCCAUCUUCCCGCCGAGCCCGAUUCCUCCGUCCUCGGCGAUGGCAACAUCGUCAUGGAGGAGUUGCCCUUCUCAUCCACACACAUUCACAAAGCUCCAUCCUUCUGGAGCUGGGACAGCUUCUGGCUCUCGAGAGAGGGCCUCUUUACGAUUCCACGCGGGCUGGUUACGUGGCCGUCUGGAGAAAGCAGUGGGGAGCGGUGGUGUAGCAGUUAGCGCGCUACGCUACGAAC